GCCAAGGAUGAGUGUAGGCCAUAUGAUGAAAGUUGUAUCGUAUGUACGAGAGGAAGCGUAACGUGGUCGGGUAUUUGCACCCCAAAUUGUGCAAAGCAAUGCAUCGACUGGGAAUUUGCAGACGGUGGAGGUUGUUGGUGGCUUUUCAAAUGCAACUGCUACUUCAUCUACUGUGAUAUUAUUUGAGAAGAUAACUGAGUAGAUUGUGUUCAAAUGCAUCACAAUUUCGACGGAAGUACCGAAAAGUGCCUUUUUUUUGGGGGCAUAUUCUCAUAUGAAGUCCAAAACUAAUGCAAACUAGGGAUAGCAAAAGAGGUAUGGAUUAUGAGUAUAAAGAGUUGGCUAAUGAGUGUUUUGUACUCUUAUAAGCUCCUAGUUGGAGGCGCUUAUGCCGCAAGAGCCUCCAACCUCAUGACAAUGUAGUAACCAGAGGACCAUUUAAUGGUCACCGAAUGACGCAUAAUCAAAGGCGGUGUUGCCGGAAUGGCCUGGCCUUGGCUGAGGAGUGGGGCUUGGGACUACACUCGGUAGAGUCGGUUGCAGUUCGUUUGUGCCAUCAACAUCACGCAAUUGCCGAAAGGUAUGCUGAACGUUCCAGACACUCAAUCCCCUCAUGCGAUGCCCAAAUCAUCCUCAGCUAGUUGCCUAGGUGAAGCACCGUUGUGGAUGAGGAUGAUGCUCAAGCUGGAGAUGAUGGCGUGGGAAAGGCCACCAGGUGUCUGAUUUGAAACAAAUGUGAAGAAAGUGUGAUAGACUUCAAUGUCUAAAGGUAAUAAGAAUACAUUUGAAUUCUAAACUAAUCUAAUGAUCUUCUAUAACCUAUGGAUGAGUUAUCAUCUUCAUCUUUUGUAAUGUGAUUUGAUUGAAUGUAAUCACCUCUGUUUUGGAUGGUAUCAUCAAGUCCUCUGUUUUGGAUAGUAUCAACUUUAUCUUCCAAAUGUUGUGCUUGAACUGAAUGUGCUGCCUUAUCUUGAGUUGAAUGUUGAGCCAUAGUACCUGAUAGGAUAGUGACUUUAACAGCCCCGCAAGCUAAUGGGGGAACAACCAUGAGCUUGGAUUUUAAAAACAAAGUUGAGAGGAUGAUAAUCCUUUUGUAAAGAUAUUAACUACUUGAUUACUGGAGGAAAUAAACUUAACCAAAAUGUCAUGAUUAAGCACUUUUUCCCUAAUAAAGUGAUAGUCCACCUCGAUGUGUUUUGUUCGACCAUGAAACACGGGAUUUGAGGCGAGUGCAAGAGCGCUAACAUUAUCACACCAUAUUACAUUUGGUGUAUGGAAAGCACUAAAUAUAUUUUGAUAUG